UACGUAGGGGGCGAGCGUUGUCCGGAGUUACUGGGCGUAAAGCGUGCGCAGGCGGUUUGUUAAGCCAGAUGUGAAAGCCCCGGGCUCAACCUGGGAACUGCGUUUGGUACUGGCAAGCUAGAGUACGGCAGAGGGGGGUGGAAUUCCACGUGUAGCAGUGAAAUGCGUAGAGAUGUGGAGGAACACCGAUGGCGAAGGCAGCCCCCUGGGCCGAUACUGACGCUCAGGCACGAAAGCGUGGGGAGCAAACAGG
rnacentral:rRNA from 1 species